UACGUAGGGGGCUAGCGUGGUCCGGAAUCAUUGGGCGGAAAGAGCGUGUAGGCGGCCCGGUAAGUCCGCUGUGAAAGUCGGGGGCUCAACCCUCGAAUGCCGGUGGAUACUGUCGGGCUAGAGUGCGGAAGAGGCGAGUGGAAUUCCUGGUGUAGCGGUGAAAUGCGCAGAUAUCAGGAGGAACACCGGUGGCGAAGGCGGGUCUCUGGGCCGAUACUGACGCUGAGGAGCGAAAGCGUGGGGAGCGAACAGG
rnacentral:rRNA from 1 species